rnacentral:rRNA from 1 species
CAGCCGCCACGGGAAAACGAAGGGGGCUAGCGUUGCUCGGAAUGACUGGGCGUAAAGGGCGCGUAGGCGGCGAUCAAAGUCAGGCGUGAAAUUCCUGGGCUCAACCUGGGGGCUGCGCUUGAUACUUGGUUGCUUGAGUGGGGAAGAGGGUCGUGGAAUUCCCAGUGUAGAGGUGAAAUUCGUAGAUAUUGGGAAGAACACCGGUGGCGAAGGCGGCGACCUGGUCCUUGACUGACGCUGAGGCGCGAAAGCGUGGGGAGCAAACAGGAUUAGAUACCCGCGUAGUCCCUGUCUCUUAUAC